UUAAAAGCGAUGAAGAGAAGAGUAUAUAUGUUUAAGCAUUUCAGAGAACUCCGGCAGCUGCGAAGGAGGAUGUACAAUCAUAUAGAAACAAGUCUCGGAGCUGCACAUAGGAUAUUGUCUUUGUGGCAUUGAUGAUGUGCCGGGUUUCUCCCGUUAUAGGGAUAGGGUAUACCCUAUGGAUUUUAGGUAGUACUCGAAAAGGUUUUUAUGGCGACAUAAGAACAAACUGGGGUGGCACCGCGAACUUCUAAAUUCAGGGAGUCUCGUCCUCAAG
rnacentral:ncRNA from 1 species